GGGGCCUUAGCUCAGCUGGGAGAGCGCUACCUUUGCAAGGUAGAGGUGAUCGGUUCGAGUCCGAUAGGCUCCA
rnacentral:tRNA from 1 species